AUAUAUGUGUCGUACUGACUUUUUGUGCUGCGUCUGAUGACUUUUAGCGCCUGGUGUAAAACAAGAGAAAGUUCUAGUAAAUAUAGAUGUUUAUUUCUUGAAAUCAGUAAUCAAAGUGACCGUUGAAAACAUAAAUUGUUUCCAUGCGGGCGUGGUCACAUGAUCACUGAUUUCUUAACUUUCUCCUGUUUUCACCAAUCAAAAAUUACCUUGUAAAGCUCCCUUGACCACAACCUAUUUUCACUGGUUGGUCAAUAAUCAAGUCAUGGGUGACAGGUGUUAUUAACAAUUUCACACAUGAGUAAUAGGAAAAGGUUGUUUAACAAAAGCCUUAAUUUACAUGUAAGGUAC
rnacentral:lncRNA from 1 species